rnacentral:rRNA from 1 species
AACGAACGCUGGCGGCGCGCCUAAUACAUGCAAGUCGAGCGAGAAGACGUAGCAAUACGUUUGUAAAGCGGCGAACGGGUGAGGAAUACAUGGGUAACCUACCCUCGAGUGGGGAAGUAACUAGCCGAAGGUUAGCUAAUACCGCGUACGCUCCUUGGACUUCGGUUCAGGGAGGAAAGACGAUACCGUGGGUAUCGCGCUCUUGGAUGGGCUCAUGUCCUAUCAGCUUGUUGGUGAGGUAACGGCUCACCAAGGCUUCGACGGGUAGCUGGUCUGAGAGGACAAUCAGCCACACUGGCACUGCGACACGGGCCAGACUCCUACGGGAGGCAGCAGUGAGGAAUAUUGCGCAAUGGGCGAAAGCCUGACGCAGCGACGCCGCGUGGGGGA